rnacentral:tRNA from 1 species
AGGAUAAUAGUUAAUACAUAACAUUUAAAUUGCAAUUAAAAAUAACGAAUAGUUUAUCUU